rnacentral:lncRNA from 1 species
GCCCUGGCCACCCCCCAGGUGCUCUUCACCCCACUUUCCCGUUUUCCCACAGUGACCGCUGUGCCCGAGGGUGUCCAGGAGUCCUGGGCAUUGGAUAGCAGAGGCGGACACAUGGCCCUCACCCCACAUCCCAGCUCCCGUGUCCAGCCUGCCCAAGGCCAGCUCAGCCCUCAGUUGGGAGGCACAGCGCUAGGUGGCCACUCCUGGCGCUGGGGAGCCAGGCUGCUGGGUCCCCUCACUCGGGACCAGGACAAUCCAGAUUGCUGGGCAGGUAGCCGGAAGCGGUCUGUCACUUUAUAUCUGUGGAGGUGGUACCAGAAAACUAGAAAUGGCCCCAAACGUGUCCACCCUCAGAUCUCCCACUGCCCCUUGCUUCCUCGAGGGGCAGCUCUUGUCCACACCAGGCAGGAGUCCCGGCCACAGAUGUGAUGGCAGGCUCCCAGGCACUCAGCAUCAUGAGGCACACUUCACGUGAGGGUGAUGUGGGGCAUGGGGGGAGCUCCCACGGGCACGGGGUCCCAUCCUGAGUGGGGAGCAGUGUUGCCACGGGACGACACCACCUGCAGAAGCUGCAGCUGUGGACCCUAGAAGUGUACCUUCAGCUCCACGGGGGAGUGCAGAGUCUGGUCCACUGCCCCCUCCUGAGUGGUGCCGGGUCAGGGUGGCCAGGGGUGCACCUUCCUCCUCAUCCUCAGGCCCAGCUGGUCACCUCCACUUGAAUUUUCCUAUGUGCCAGGGGGUGGCACAGGUCUGUCAUCCCAGCACUCUGGGAGGCUGGGGCAGGAGGAUCGUGAGUUUGAGCAGCUUCGUGAGACCCUGUCUCAAAAUAAAAAAGGUGAACGGUACGGUGAGCGGGGAGAUCAGGCGCACGAUUCUUCCCAAAACCAGCGCAAGAGAGGUGUGAAGUCUGCGGCGGCCAGGGAGGUCAUCAGAACUGCUUCCACUGAGAGAGCUGCACCUCGUGUGGAGAAGGCCGGGGCGACUGGCCUGCCUGAGGCCAGUGCAGCAGCAGUGCCAGGCAGCUGCUGAGCACCACAAGGAAGGGACGCGGCUCUCCGGGGAGCACUGGAGCCCCAAGGGAUGCCGUCCGCCACGAAGGGGGACACAAGGGGCUCGCCCUAUGUGCUGUGGGCCCAGGCACGAGUGUGAG